rnacentral:rRNA from 1 species
GACGAACGCUGGCGGCGUGCUUAACACAUGCAAGUCGAACGAUGAACCAGGGCUUGCCCUGGGGAUUAGUGGCGAACGGGUGAGUAACACGUGGGCAACCUGCCCCACACACCGGGAUAACCUCUCGAAAGAGUGUCUAAUACCGGAUACGACCCAUUUGGGCAUCCAACGGUGGUGGAACGGCUUCUGGUCUAGGAUGGGCCCGCGGCCUAUCAGCUUGUUGGUGGGGUAAUGGUCUACCAAGGCGACGACGGGUCGCCGGCCUGAGAGUGCGACCGGCCACACUGGGACUGAGACACGGCCCAGACUCCUACGGGAGGCAGCAGUGGGGAAUAUUGCGCAAUGGGCGAAAGCCUGACGCAGCGACGCCGCGUGAGGGACGAAGGUCUUCGGAUUGUAAACCUCUUUCAGCAGGGACGAAGCGAAAGUGACUGUACCUGCAGAAGAAGCACCGGCUAACUACGUGCCAGCCGCCGCAGUAA